GACGAACGCUGGCGGCGUGCUUAACACAUGCAAGUCGAACGGAAAGGCCUCUUUCGGGGGGUACUCGAGUGGCGAACGGGUGAGUAACACGUGAGUAACCUGCCCUUGACUUUGGGAUAACUUCAGGAAACUGGGGCUAAUACCGGAUAGGAGCUCCUGCUGCAUGGUGGGGGUUGGAAAGUUUCGGCGGUUGGGGAUGGUCUCGCGGCUUAUCAGCUUGUUGGUGGGGUAGUGGCUUACCAAGGCUUUGACGGGUAGCCGGCCUGAGAGGGUGACCGGCCACAUUGGGACUGAGAUACGGCCCAGACUCCUACGGGAGGCAGCAGUGGGGAAUAUUGCACAAUGGGUGGAAGCCUGAUGCAGCAACGCCGUGUGCGGGAUGACGGCCUUCGGGUUGUAAACCGCUUUCGCUCAUGACGAAGCUUUGUGUGACGGUAGUGGGUAAAGAAGCACCGGCUAACUACGUG
rnacentral:rRNA from 1 species